AUUGAACGCUGGCGGCAGGCUUAACACAUGCAAGUCGAGCGGGGGAAGGUAGCUUGCUACUGGACCUAGCGGCGGACGGGUGAGUAAUGCUUAGGAAUCUGCCUAUUAGUGGGGGACAACAUCUCGAAAGGGAUGCUAAUACCGCAUACGUCCUACGGGAGAAAGCAGGGGAUCUUCGGACCUUGCGCUAAUAGAUGAGCCUAGGUCGGAUUAGCUAGUUGGGGGGGUAAAGGCCUACCAAGGCGACGAUCUGUAGCGGGUCUGAGAGGAUGAUCCGCCACACUGGGGCUGAGACACGGCCCAGACUCCUACGGGAGGCAGCAGUGGGGAAUAUUGGACAAUGGGGGGAACCCUGAUCCAGCCAUGCCGCGUGUGUGAAGAAGGCCUUAUGGUUGUAAAGCACUUUAAGCGAGGAGGAGGCUACUCUAGUUAAUACCUAGGGAUAGUGGACGUUACUCGCAGAAUAAGCACCGGCUAACUCUGUGCCAGCCGCCGCUGUAA
rnacentral:rRNA from 1 species